GGCUCCGUUUGUGCAGUUGGGACUAUAUGGUUCAUUUACCGAACACCCGCACGAACAGAGACCACCAUGGAGCUUGUUAACACUCAUUAACAACUUGGAACGUUUCUCACCGCAGUGUUCUAAUUGUUCGUCUGGGUGGCCGCAAUUCUUAUGAACAACCUUGAGGUGGCGGCCAUCUUGUUCGCAUGAAUGCAGGCAGCGGUGUUUGAGCAUGAAUCUCCUAGAACUAAAGUCAGAUACAGAAACUCCCGAACAUCGCUGGACUUCCAUCAUCGCCUGUGUUCGUUUCUUUUCAGCUUAGAAGGGCACUGUUUGGUGAGAUCAUUCGUCUGGAUAAAGGGAACAAGCUCCAGGGUAAGACUAUUGACUCCGUUCAGAAGUUUGUUCGUUUGCAAACUACCGAACUAGACCGGCCUCAAGCCCUGAUUCUCUAGAACUGUUUUGGGCAUGAAAUCAUGCGUGUGGUCAAAAUAAACUUCCAGGAAUUUCC